AGAGCACGUGGUGGAUGCCUUGGCAAUGAUAGGCGACGAAGGACGUGAUAGCCUGCGAUAAGCUUCGGGGAGCUGGCAAAUUAGCUUUGAUCCGGAGAUUUCCGAAUGGGGAAACCCACCUGCAAAGGUAUCGCAUGAUGAAUACAUAGUCAUGCGAGGCGAACCGGGUGAACUGAAACAUCUCAGUAGCUCGAGGAAAAGACAUCAACCGAGAUUCCGAAAGUAGUGGCGAGCGAAAUCGGAGAAGCCUGUUAGUGAUAGCACGACUCUUAACGGAACGGUCUGGAAAGGCUGGCCAUAGCAGGUGAUAGCCCUGUACGUGAAAAGAGACGUGUGGUACUGAGCUGACGAAAAGUAGGGCGGGACACGUGUAAUCCUGUCUGAAUAUGGGGGGACCAUCCUCCAANNAGUACCGUGAGGGAAAGGCGAAAAGAACCCCGGGAGGGGAGUGAAAUAGAUCCUGAAACCGCGUGCUUACAAAAAGUAGGAGCCCGAAAGGGUGACUGCGUACCUUUUGUAUAAUGGGUCAGCGACUUACAUUCAGUGGCAAGCUUAACCGAAUAGGGAAGGCGUAGGGAAACCGAGUCCGAACAGGGCGUCUUAGUCGCUGGGUGUAGACCCGAAACCAAGUGAUCUAUCCAUGGCCAGGAUGAAGGUGCCGUAACAGGUACUGGAGGUCCGAACCGACUAGUGUUGCAAAACUAGCGGAUGAGCUGUGGAUAGGGGUGAAAGGCUAAACAAACUUGGAAAUAGCUGGUUCUCUCCGAAAACUAUUUAGGUAGUGCCUCAAGUAUUACCUGCGGGGGUAGAGCACUGUUUAGGCUAGGGGGUCAUGGCGACUUACCAAACCUAUGCAAACUCCGAAUACCGCAGAGUACAGCUUGGGAGACAGAGCACCGGGUGCUAACGUCCGGACUCAAGAGGGAAACAACCCAGACCGCCAGCUAAGGUCCCUAAAAUUGGCUAAGUGGGAAACGAAGUGGGAAGGCUAAAACAGUCAGGAUGUUGGCUUAGAAGCAGCCAUCAUUUAAAGAAAGCGUAAUAGCUCACUGAUCGAGUCGUCCUGCGCGGAAGAUGUAACGGGGCUAAGCCAGUUACCGAAGCUGCGGAUGCACAGUUUACUGUGCGUGGUAGGAGAGCGUUCUGUAAGCCUGUGAAGGUGGCUUGUAAAGGCUGCUGGAGGUAUCAGAAGUGCGAAUGCUGACAUGAGUAGCGUUAAAGCGGGUGAAAAGCCCGCUCGCCGUAAGCGCAAGGUUUUCUACGCAACGUUCAUCGGCGUAGAGUGAGUCGGCCCCUAAGGUGAGGCAGAGAUGCGUAGCUGAUGGGAAACAGGUCAAUAUUCCUGUACCGAUGUGUAGUGCGAUGUGGGGACGGAUCUUAAUAGGUCAUCCGGGUGUUGGAUAUCCCGGUUUAGGCAGAUGUAGGCGUCUGGUAGGCAAAUCCGCCAGGCAUAUACCGAGGCUGUCGAUCGAGCGAGCUUGCUCGCGAAGUGAUUGAACGAGGUUCCAGGAAAAGCCACUAAGCUUCAGCUGCACACGACCGUACCGCAAACCGACACUGGUGCGCGAGAUGAGUAUUCUAAGGCGCUUGAGAGAACUCGGGAGAAGGAACUCGGCAAAUUGACACCGUAACUUCGGAAGAAGGUGUGCCCUAGUAGUGUGAAGUGAACAACGGAGCAUGAAUGGGUUGCAAAAAAUCGGUGGCUGCGACUGUUUAUUAAAAACACAGCACUCUGCAAACACGAAAGUGGACGUAUAGGGUGUGACGCCUGCCCGGUGCUGGAAGAUUAAAUGAUGGGGUGCAAGCUCUUGAUUGAAGUCCCAGUAAACGGCGGCCGUAACUAUAACGGUCCUAAGGUAGCGAAAUUCCUUGUCGGGUAAGUUCCGACCUGCACGAAUGGCGUAACGAUGGCCACACUGUCUCCUCCCGAGACUCAGCGAAGUUGAAAUGUUUGUGAUGAUGCAAUCUCCCCGCGGAAAGACGGAAAGACCCCAUGAACCUUUACUGUAGCUUUGUAUUGGACUUUGAACAGAUCUGUGUAGGAUAGGUGGGAGGCUUUGAAGUGCGGUCGCUAGAUCGCAUGGAGCCAACGUUGAAAUACCACCCUGGUGUGUUUGAGGUUCUAACCUAGGUCCAUCAUCUGGAUCGGGGACAGUGCAUGGUAGGCAGUUUGACUGGGGCGGUCUCCUCCNNUAGUGAUCCGGUGGUUCUGUAUGGAAGGGCCAUCGCUCAACGGAUAAAAGGUACUCUGGGGAUAACAGGCUGAUACCGCCCAAGAGUUCAUAUCGACGGCGGUGUUUGGCACCUCGAUGUCGGCUCAUCUCAUCCUGGGGCUGUAGCCGGUCCCAAGGGUAUGGCUGUUCGCCAUUUAAAGAGGUACGUGAGCUGGGUUUAAAACGUCGUGAGACAGUUUGGUCCCUAUCUUCCGUGGGCGCUGCAGAUUUGAGGAAGCCUGCUCCUAGUACGAGAGGACCGGAGUGGACGCACCUCUGGUGUAUCGGUUGUCACGCCAGUGGCAUUGCCGAGUAGCUAUGUGCGGAAGAGAUAACCGCUGAAAGCAUCUAAGCGGGAAACUCGUUCCAAGAUGAGAUCUGCCGGGGCCUUGAGCCCCCUGAAGAGUCGUUCAAGACCAGGACGUUGAUAGGCGAGGUGUGGAAGCGCAGCAAUGCGUUAAGCUAACUCGUACUAAUUGCUCGUGCGGCUUGACC
rnacentral:rRNA from 1 species